rnacentral:tRNA from 1 species
GCUCAGUCGGUUGAGUGUCUGACUCUUGAUUUCAGUUCUGGUGGUGUGGGAUCGAGCCCCACACUGGGCU